ACGAACGCUGGCGGCGUGGAUAAGACAUGCAAGUCGAACGAGAGAAUUGCUAGCUUGCUAAUAAUUCUCUAGUGGCGCACGGGUGAGUAACACGUGAGUAACCUGCCCCCGAGAGCGGGAUAGCCCUGGGAAACUGGGAUUAAUACCGCAUAGUAUCGAAAGAUUAAAGCAGCAAUGCGCUUGGGGAUGGGCUCGCGGCCUAUUAGUUAGUUGGUGAGGUAACGGCUCACCAAGGCGAUGACGGGUAGCCGGUCUGAGAGGAUGUCCGGCCACACUGGAACUGAGACACGGUCCAGACACCUACGGGUGGCAGCAGUCGAGAAUCAUUCACAAUGGGGGAAACCCUGAUGGUGCGACGCCGCGUGGGGGAAUGAAGGUCUUCGGAUUGUAAACCCCUGUCAUGUGGGAGCAAAUUAAAAAGAUAGUACCACAAGAGGAAGAGACGGCUAACUCUGUGCCAGCAGCCGCGGUAAUACAGAGGUCUCAAGCGUUGUUCGGAAUCACUGGGCGUAAAGCGUGCGUAGGCUGUUUCGUAAGUCGUGUGUGAAAGGCGCGGGCUCAACCCGCGGACGGCACAUGAUACUGCGAGACUAGAGUAAUGGAGGGGGAACCGGAAUUCUCGGUGUAGCAGUGAAAUGCGUAGAUAUCGAGAGGAACACUCGUGGCGAAGGCGGGUUCCUGGACAUUAACUGACGCUGGGGCACGAAGGCCAGGGGAGCGAAAGGGAUUAGAUACCCCUGUAGUCCUGGCAGUAAACGGUGCACGCUUGGUGUGCGGGGAAUCGACCCCCUGCGUGCCGGAGCUAACGCGUUAAGCGUGCCGCCUGGGGAGUACGGUCGCAAGAUUAAAACUCAAAGAAAUUGACGGGGACCCGCACAAGCGGUGGAGUAUGUGGCUUAAUUCGAUGCAACGCGAAGAACCUUACCUGGGCUUGACAUGUAAUGAACAACAUGUGAAAGCAUGCGACUCUUCGGAGGCGUUACACAGGUGCUGCAUGGCCGUCGUCAGCUCGUGUCGUGAGAUGUUUGGUUAAGUCCAGCAACGAGCGCAACCCCUGUUGCCAGUUACCAGCACGUGAAGGUGGGGACUCUGGCGAGACUGCCCAGAUCAACUGGGAGGAAGGUGGGGACGACGUCAGGUCAGUAUGGCCCUUAUGCCCAGGGCUGCACACGUACUACAAUGCCCAGUACAGAGGGGGCCGAAGCCGCGAGGCGGAGGAAAUCCUGAAAACUGGGCCCAGUUCGGACUGUAGGCUGCAACCCGCCUACACGAAGCCGGAAUCGCUAGUAAUGGCGCAUCAGCUACGGCGCCGUGAAUACGUUCCCGGGUCUUGUACACACCGCCCGUCACAUCAUGGAAGCCGGUCGCACCCGAAGUAUCUGAAGCCAACCGCAAGGAGGCAGGGUCCUAAGGUGAGACUGGUAACUGGGAUG
rnacentral:rRNA from 1 species